CUGGAAUCACCCUCUAUUAACUCAAGGUGGAGUUUCCUUGCUAUAGGAGUUUUUCUAGGAUACAGAAAGCACAGAACAAAUGCAGUGUUGCCUGAGGUUAAACUGCUCCAGACCUGCCUUCAGAGUCCUUCCCUCAUUGCAGAAAGGAAUGGGCUGCAUGAGACCACAGAAUACUUUGGGACCAGAGAGGGCUGCACUCAUCUUACCUGCUCCUUGCUUUCCUAAGAGUGUGACAGAGGAAGAUUCUUUGGUGUCUCCAGAGAGAGCAAACCUGAGUUGAUUUUAAAUCUUGUUCCAGAGGAAUGCUAAAGAUCAUGGACUGAGACAAGAAUAGGAAAGUCAAGCAGAUGAGGAAGCCCUAAGAUGGCAAUGAAUGCAUAAUUUUUGCCUGAAAAAGAAGAGAUAUCCAGCCUGCCCCAUGGC